AUACAGAGGUCUCAAGCGUUGCGCGGAAUUACUGGGCUUAAAGGGUGCGUAGGCGGACCAGCAAGUGUCUUGUGAAAGCCCACGGCUUAACCGUGGAAUUGCUCGGCAGACUGCUGGUCUUGAGGUCGGUAGGGGCUGCCGGAACAGUAGGUGGAGCGGUGAAAUGCGUAGAUAUCUACUGGAACACCAAAGGCGAAGGCAGGCAGCUGGGCCGAUUCUGACGCUGAGGCACGAAAGCGUGGGUAGCGAACGGGAUUAGAAACCCCGGUAGUCC
rnacentral:rRNA from 1 species